CAGCAUCUGGUGCUUAUUAUCCAGAUAAGGAAGAGGAAACAAUUAAAUUGCUCUUAAGGAUCUACAUGUGAUAAAAUAAAUCAUCACAAAAUGAGGCUUUCCUAACCACAUGGUUCAUCUGUAGAAUAUGUACAGUGAAAAUAGUGACGUAUACAUAUACACAAUAAACUUUCUGUAGGAUGGAGAAAUCAAACCAAAAAAUCGCCGUUUAUUGGACCACAGUAAUAUAUUCU